rnacentral:lncRNA from 1 species
GUUCCAAUGAUGGAAUGUGGAGAGCACUGAGAGCCUCAGGCGGUGGUGAAGGAAGACAGAAAUGAAAAACACAGUACGUGAGUGGAUAAAGGCAAGCUGGAAAACCAAGGCUGAGAAUGCUCCAGUUCCUGGAAAUGUACAGUCUGGGCUGCAAGAUUUAUGUAACAGAGGAUGGGCCAUUAUGUGCUGAGCAAGCUGGAGAGGCACAAGGUUGCCAAAUGGGUGUGCACCCCCUGCCCCCAAAAUGAAAGUCCAGUCUACUAUGGUUUGGCUUUCUACUACAAUAACCUAGCAAGGAACAAAGAAGCAAAGCAAUUAGUUCACAGGGCAAGGGCUGAGGAGGUGUGGAAGUCAUUUGGGACAAAAAAGCAAAAAGCUACAGAAACACUAAAGGACAAUGUGCUUCAAGGUCUGAGAAAGCAACCAAGAACUUCUCAGUGUGAAAAUGGAUUGCUUUACAGGGAUACAGUACUGCCAUUCUUUUGA